rnacentral:rRNA from 1 species
CCUUACGGAGCCAGCAGUGAGGAAUAUUGGACAAUGGGCGCAAGCCUGAUCCAGCGACGCCGCGUGAGUGAUGAAGGCCUUUGGUUCGUAAAGCUCUGUCAGCAGGAAGAACGGCCGUGUGGUUAAUACCCAUGCGGAUUGACGGUACCUGCAGAGAAGCACCGGCUAACUCCGUGCCAGCAGCCGCGGUAAUACGGAGGGUGCGAGCGUUAAUCGGAAUUACUGGGCGUAAAGGGCGCGUAGGCGGCUGAUCAAGUCAGAUGUGAAAGCCCACGGCUUAACCGUGUGAAGUGCAUCUGAAACUGGUCGGCUUGAGUAUCGGAGGGGAAAGUGGAAUUCCCGGUGUAGAGGUGAAAUUCGUAGAUAUCGGGAGGAAUACCGGUGGCGAAGGCGAUUUUCUGGACGAAUACUGACGCUGAGGCGCGAAAGCGUGGGGAGCAAACAGGAUUAGAUACCCUGGUAGUCCACAGCUGUAAACGAUGUGCACUAGAUGUGGGGAAGUGUUGACCUUUCCUGUGUCGCAGCUAACGCAUUAAGUGCACCGCCUGGGGAGUACGGCCGCAAGGUUAAAACUCAAAGGAAUUGACGG